rnacentral:rRNA from 1 species
CCUACGGGUGGCUUCCUUGGGGAAUAUUGGACAAUGGGCGAAAGCCUGAUCCAGCCAUGCCGCGUGUGUGAAGAAGGCCUUCGGGUUGUAAAGCACUUUCAGUGGGGAAGAAAGCCUUGUGGCUAAUACGCUCGAGGAAGGACAUCACCCAUAGCCGAAGCACCGGCUAACUCCGUGCCAGCAGCCGCGGUAAUACGGAGGGUGCGAGCGUUAAUCGGAAUUACUGGGCGUAAAGCGCGCGUAGGCGGUCUGAUAAGCCGGUUGUGAAAGCCCCGGGCUCAACCUGGGAACGGCAUCCGGAACUGUCAGGCUAGAGUGCAGUAGAGGAAGGUAGAAUUCCCGGUGUAGCGGUGAAAUGCGUAGAGAUCGGGAGGAAUACCAGUGGCGAAGGCGGCCCUCUGGACUGACACUGACGCUGAGGUGCGAAAGCGUGGGUAGCAAACAGGAUUAGAUACCCGAGUAGUC